rnacentral:rRNA from 1 species
GAUGAACGCUGGCGGCGUGCCUAAUACAUGCAAGUCGAGCGAACAGACGAGGAGCUUGCUCCUCUGACGUUAGCGGCGGACGGGUGAGUAACACGUGGAUAACCUACCUAUAAGACUGGGAUAACUUCGGGAAACCGGAGCUAAUACCGGAUAAUAUAUUGAACCGCAUGGUUCAAUAGUGAAAGACGGUUUUGCUGUCACUUAUAGAUGGAUCCGCGCCGCAUUAGCUAGUUGGUAAGGUAACGGCUUACCAAGGCAACGAUGCGUAGCCGACCUGAGAGGGUGAUCGGCCACACUGGAACUGAGACACGGGACAGACUCCUACGGGAGGCAGCAGGAGGGAAUCUUCCGCAAGGGCGAAAGCCUGACGGAGCAACGCCGCGUGAGUGAUGAAGGUCUUCGGAUCGUAAAACUCUGUUAUUAGGGAAGAACAAAUGUGUAAGUAACUAUGCACGUCUUGACGGUACCUAAUCAGAAAGCCACGGCUAACUACGUG